rnacentral:tRNA from 1 species
GGAGAGGUGGCUGAGUGGUUGAAAGCAGCGGUUUGCUAAACCGCCGUACCGGGUAAACUGGUACCGGGGGUUCGAAUCCCCCCCUCUCCGCCA